GUCAGACACGAGGCAGAUUUGUACUACGACCGAGUCUUGUUUCUGGCUUCAAGGAAGACGGACGCGUCGCCGCAACCCUAGAGGCGGCAUCCCCCGCGUGACGCCCUUUCAGGCACCGUCGUGACCGGAUUCCUUGUCUUACUCACCGCGUCGACUGCAUAUGCACGCGUCACGCGCGCUGGCGAUCAGCUGGUCGCCGAGGUGUAGCGAUAGGACAGCAGCGACUUCACCAGGAAGGUGAUCUGGGUGGCCGAGCGUGCAUCCACCCGCAUGACCGGGAUGCGAAAGCCUUCGGCCACCAAGGCAUCGCGAAAU
rfam:Xanthomonas oryzae pv. oryzae KACC10331, complete genome.